rnacentral:lncRNA from 1 species
UGAACACUAUCAAGGCUGCUCUGUGGGCCCAGCACUCCAGCAAAUGAAUAGAAACAUAAUGUUCCUGCCAAGCUGAUUUAUCUAUCAUUUAACCAGAGUGAGCGAGAGAAGAAACAAACAGUGGGAGAAGAUGUCUCACGCACACUGAAGUUAGACCACUGCAAAACUGAGCCAGACGGCUUUGUUGUGCAGCUUUCUGAUGCCUCCAGGGGACAGCUGCUUAUCGGAGGGAGACUAUUAUGGGGUUGGGGCUGGAGAUGUUCCAUGCAGCAUCCUGCAAGGGGAAGCAGUUACUUUAUGAGAGCGAUGCUUCAACCAGCUAACUGGAUAGCCCUCCCUUUUGCAGCUGGUGUGGGUGAAGAUGUGGAAGCUUGAUUCUCCUUGGAAGCUCUGAUCACCCCAGCCCAGAACCACUAGUCCCCACUUAGUCUUGGAGAGGAGGCAAGGAUGUGUGUCCUCUGCGUGUAGCCUUACGGUCUGCAAAUGCUUAUGAAAACCUAUGAAAGAGAGACUAUUCAUUUUAGUUCCAUUUUAGAGAAAAAAAAAAAAAACCUGAAGCUUAGAACAUUUAAGAAAUUUUCCCUAAAUCCAUCUAGCUAGCAAGAAGUGGGGACAAAAUGAGAGUCCACUUGGCUCUCAGAUCCAGCCUCAAGUACCUUUGAGAGCCACAGGGGUUGCACAACAUGGACUUCCUCUGCUAGAGUGGGAAGACAGUCUUUUUUACAUGAAGAGAUUAGGAUAGGCUGGGCGCAGUGGCUCACACCUGUAAUCUCAACACUUUGAGAGACAGAUCACUUGAGGUCAGGAGUUCAAGACCAGCCUGCCAACAUGGUGAAACCUCAUCUCUACUAAAAAUACAAAAAUAGCC